rnacentral:rRNA from 1 species
UACGGGGGGGGCAAGCGUUGUUCGGAUUUACUGGGCGUAAAGGGCGCGUAGGCGGCCUCUGCAAGUCGACUGUGAAAUCUCCGGGCUUAACCCGGAAAGGUCAGCCGAUACUGCAGGGCUAGAGUGCAGAAGGGGCAACUGGAAUUCUCGGUGUAGCGGUGAAAUGCGUAGAUAUCGAGAGGAACACCAGUGGCGAAGGCGGCCAACUGGACCAACACUGACGCUGAGGCGCGAAAGCGUGGGGAGCAAACAGG